UGAAUUUGAAGUGAGCGAAGUAGGUCGUGGAUGACUUCAGCUAUGCAUUCGCCCUGAUUGGCGAUUGCGUGCUGCUCUCUCACCUGUAGAACGUAGGCAGUUGUAGGGUCUCGAGGGAGAAUGUGGAGGAGGGAGACUGUAGAGGAAUGGCGAGGUAUUUGUUUGACAUGGCAUGGUCAACUCAGAACGUACACGGACGUAUGAAUCCGACUGUCUGAUUGAAAAUAAACAUUUUAAUAUCUGCCUAUCGAUUUUGACGCCUUGUGGUUUUUGUUCUGUGGUCCCACCGUUAAAGUGAAGAAAACAAACCAAGUUUGGGUAAACGGCAGGAGUACCUAUGACGUUCUUAGAGUGGGUAAAUGGCUCGUCAGCUAAUUAGUGACUCAUCUGAAUGUCUUAACGAGAUUCCUCCUCUUCCUAUCUACUGUCUAGUGAGACUAAAGCCAAUGAAACUGAUUUGG
rnacentral:ncRNA from 1 species